rnacentral:lncRNA from 1 species
UAAUCGUCUCUCCCACUUUACCCAUCAUCAGAGACCUUACCCCAAAACCCUAACACCGCCCUACUUUCCACAGUCUCCAACCGGCGACGCCGCUCCCAAUCGACCCCAAAUCAACACCACAAAACCACCAUGACUCCCUCAUACCAAAUCCAUCACUGGUUUCCCUCGAAUCUGUCCAGAACUUCUCGAAUCGUAAAUCAGAGUUCGAGCCCUAAAAGUCUAAAAUCAUUUUUCAUUGAACCCAGUGGCAUGCAUGAUCAUAGGCUGUUGUUCCUUUCGAGUUUUGAAGUUUUGAUUCAACGAAAACUGAUGUUGUUCAUUUGUUCUUGACAAAGAACAAAUGAUUGACAUUAGUUUCCUUAAGUCAAUGUCUCUGGUGGGUUUUGAUUUUUGGUCUGGUAAGUUUCUUCACCUCUUUGUCCGUUCUUGUUUGUUUCAUUGUCUUACUCUUAUUCGUUUCAUCUCCCUUUCUUUAGUUAGUCUUUUUCUUAAUGUGGUGGAAACUCGACUAAGGCUAUGAACUUAGGACCUCCUUUCUAGAUUAAUCUGUGUUUGUUUUUCUAAUUCAUUUUGUUUUGCUCAAUGGUCUGUUUAGUUUUCUUCCUGAUUUUUAUUUAGCCUUAUAGUCAAAUUAGUUAGUUUGUUUUGAUUUAAUAACUUAGUUAAUUCCGUAUUAAUCAGUCAAUUAUUGUAGGUUUUAGUUUUCGAAAUCCUUAAGUAUUUUCGUCUGUUUGUUUACUCUUUUUAUUUAGUUUAUCUUUGUUGCUUGGGCUUUGAGGCCGGUUUAGACUUCACCUCAAAGGGUUUGUUUGGUUUCUUGGGUCGGAUCUGAGCCUAGGUCUGUUUGAGCUAUUCGGUUAAUUCGACCCAUUUGGUUUCCCAAGGUAAAAACAGAGGGUCUGGGGGUUAAUUUAGGACUAAGUUGGGAAAUCUGAUGUAACUAACUUGGGAAGCUUCUUAGAAGCUGGGGAUUGGGAUUUAUGUGAAAAUAUGAUUUUUAAAUUAAGGAUCAACUAGCAAAAACAAAAAUUAAAAAAGAAGUAAAGGGCAAAAACUGAAAUCAUUUCUGCUGCCCUAGAACCUUGCCUAUAAAGGCAUCAUAACUUGACAUUCAUGUCAGAUUUGGGAGAUUUUAAGAGAUAGAAAAUAUAGAAAAAUUGAAACGGCUGCUUCUUCUCUAAAAAUUUCUGAAACAACCUUGAAUUCCUGGCAUUUUCCUGAAAAAUUACUAAAGUUAUGCUCAGAUCUUUGUUCUUCUGGUCCUGAUAACUUAGCUCGAACCAUUGAAGUUCAUGGUUUGCAUUUUGGGUUAAAAAUGGUUUGAGUUCUGGUAUUUCAGAGUCUGAUUUGGAUUUUCUGUGGUUUCUACUAUUCCAUUGCUGACUUAAGCGUUGGUUUUGAAUCAUUUGGGUCCUGAUCAUUGAAAUUUGGGUUUUGGUUGAUGUUACUGUUGCAUUGCUGAUUUCUGCUACUACUGUUUCCUUCUAGUUUCAGACUAGAUUUCUGACCUCUUUUGCUUUCAUUCAGGUACUCUCCUGUAUUCUACCCCCAUGUGAAGCUUGAAUUGAAGAGUGAAAUAAAAAAACAGAGCUCAAAAAAAUUUUCUAGUCUCUUUUUAUGAGUUCAGUUCUAUAUUUUGGUUGUCUGGUGGUUUAUAGUUUAGUCCAUUGCUUUCUUAGUUAAUCUCUGCUUUGGCUGUUGAAACUUGUUUCUUUUUAUUGUAUUAAUUUGGGACUAAUGAGAUGUUGUAGAUAAAAAAUGCAGUCAAGAGGCAUGUUGGUUUAAGUUUUCUUUGAUUUUUAGUUAGACAUUUCAAUGUUAUAUUGUUUGGUAGCAGUUCUCGUGAUAAAACUAGCUGCAAGGAGACUAAGGAUAAAAUGAUGAGGUGUAGUAUGCUAUUUGAAUGGGUAAUAUGAGGUGCUAUUUUGAUGUGAAUGGCAUGUCUUGUGGUGAAUGACUAUAAACCCCUGUUGAGAAUAGUUUAAUUUGCCUCUGAGUUUUGUUUAAGGUUUUGGCUUAAAUCUUUCAUGUGUCUAACAUUCGUUUGAGAUGAAUCUUUUACUUCAUAGCUUCAAAGUCUUUUUAAAAAAAAAAGGGAAUUCAGAAUCAUGGUGUGGAGGUUUCCAAAUUUAUUAAAACAUUGUCAAUUGUUUGUUUAAG